ensembl:lncRNA LINC00910 long intergenic non-protein coding RNA 910
GGAAACCCCGGAACUAGAACUGGUAUCUCUUCAACUACCUGUGAAAACUGAUGUGAUGAAAAGGGGAAUUUGAAGGAGCCAUUCCAGAAGACAGGGCGAAAACUGAAGUGCAAUCAGGGCCAAGAAAAACAGAAAUAGCAGGACCUGGAGUUGCAUAGGUUGAAUAGUUGAAUAGGCUGCUCUCCUCAGCUGGCAGGAAACCUGGCAGCCUCCUGGUGCCCAAGGACUGAAAACCUUAGAAGCACCUGGAGUUGGCAGCCUUGGCAUGGUCAGGUUGGCACCUCUGGAGGUGCCCAGGCUUCCCUGGCAGCAUUGUGAGCAGUGGAUGGUGUUGAAGGGCAGCCAGAGGAGGAAUGGAACACAUGCUCCUUGCUAACCACACGGACAAGGCCACGUUCACAGGUACACAAAGGCAACGCAGUUGCUCAGGUGCUUCGGUAUCACAGCCAAGACCCCUUCGGGGGAAGCUAGUCGGAUACUGGGACCCACAUUCCAGACUACUGAGCCGCGGUCGCGCCCUCGGCUCCGUUUCUGCUCCCUCCACCCCACGAGGACGGGGGUGGAAGGCCACCUUCGAUGGGUGCAUCCUCCACGAUGACCUGCUAACAAAGGUGCAUGGAUUUCAGAGUCUGAUUGGCCUACAACAGCAUUUGGCUUGUGGAGACAGUGGUUCCCUGAUGAAAAACUGCCAUGAUGAAAAGGACAACAACCUGUGUGGGUUCCCUCCCGACAACUGAAAUUGCACCAUAACUCCCAAGAAGAAACACUCCCAGAAACAAAAGGCAAAGACCCCUCUGAAACCAAAGAGCAAGUAUCACCGCCUGACACAUAAACUUCAUGACCUCGACAUUGAGACAAAAUCUCGCCGUGUGACCUACAACACCACUCAUUUAACUCCACCAACUUGGGGUCAAAUAAAGGUCUUAUCCCAUCAACAGAAAAAUCAUUAAGAGAAAAAUGAAUCCCCAAAACGACAGUCUGCAGAUCCCGCAAGGAAUCCGAAGACAAGUCCAAAGUCAACGACAAGCAAUGAUGGCAAUGGUGAUCCUAGUUAAUAAAAAGCGGGGAGAUGUGGGUGGCAAGCCACCCAGGUGCCGAGGCAAGAGACCGAGAGCACGAGCUGUUCCAGUGUAAUAAAAUAUAUAAAAUAACAAGAGUUAUACUGAUAUAGCUCAUAGAUAUGAUUAUAUAUAAAUACCAUUAAUCAUUAGUUUGUAGUAAUUACUCUUUAUUCAAAUAUUAUAAUAAUCCUCACUCUACAAUCAUAACCUAGAAAAAGGCAGGCCAUGCAGAGAUAGGAGCUGAGGGGACAUGGUGAGAAGUGACAAGAAGACAAGAGUGUGAGCCUUUUGUUAUGCCCAGGCAGGGCCACCAGAGGGCUCCUUGGUCUAGCAGUAAUGCCAGCGUCUGGGAAGAUGCCCGUACCAAGCGGACCAUGGUCUAGUGGUAGCGUCAGUGCCAAGGAAAAGCACCUGCUACUGAGCAGACCAGGAAAGGGAGUCUCCCUUUCCCCAGGGGAGUUUAGAGAAGACUCUACUCCACCAUCUCUUAUGGAGGGCCUGACAUAAGUCAGGCCUGCCUGCAGUUAUCCAGAGGCCUGACCGUCUCCCUGUGAUGCUGUGCUUCAGUAGUCAUGCUCCUGGUCUGCUUUCAUGUUCCAUCCUGUACACCUGGCUCUGCCUUCUAGAUAGCAAUAGCAGAAUUACUGAAAGUAUUAAAAGUCUCUGAAAUGCAGAAAUAA